rnacentral:rRNA from 1 species
UACGUAGGGUGCAAGCGUUGUUCGGAAUUACUGGGCGUAAAGCGCACGUAGGCGGCUUUGUAAGUUAGAGGUGAAAGCCCGGAGCUCAACUCCGGAACUGCCUUUAAGACUGCAUCGCUUGAAUCAUGGAGAGGUCAGUGGAAUUCCGAGUGUAGAGGUGAAAUUCGUAGAUAUUCGGAAGAACACCAGUGGCGAAGGCGACUGACUGGACAUGUAUUGACGCUGAGGUGCGAAAGCGUGGGGAGCAAACAGG